rnacentral:lncRNA from 1 species
UUCAAAGAAAACAUUAGAAGCAGAAGCCAUUUCAUUCCAAAACUUCCAAGAAUCCAGCAAAAAUUUCGUUCAUAAAAGUUUAAAGAAGCAGGAACAAAUCUCGUUCAACAAUUUCAAAAAAGCAGAAGCUUAAUCCGAUUUUUUGGGGUUCUAAAUUUAAUCCACGAAGGUUUCCAACAGAAUAUUAUACGGAGUUUUUCUUACUCCAGGUAUGUUAAGACCAUCAUUUCUUUCUUUUGGUAUGGUCCAAAUUAUACCGAAUAAAUGAGCAAAUGCACAGUUUCCAUAAAUUACUCUAUUCAUAAAAAUAUUAGGGAUGUCUAUAUUCUUGAUUUCCCAUGUGAAUUAUUAUUAUCUUCUGUGUAUGGGUCUCAACCAACUUAGCGGUUACGUUGCAUCAAAGUUGAAGACGUUUUAGUUAAACAAUAACUAGGGAGAGUGUAAAAAUAAUUGAGUUAAGGAUGACUGAUCAAUAAACUUUUGGUUGUUUGAGGAUUAAAUUCAGGGAAAGGAUAGUACUAGUACUAGAAAAUGGACAAAAUUCCAAACGGUCAAAGCUUUAGUUUGCAAUGUUUAAGGGUGGAUUUGGCUUCUGUUGUUGGUUGCUAAUUGAUAGCAUGAUUGUGGAAUCUAUUAUCAUGAACAUAUCUUGAAUACAUGAGCUACUACAUUGAAACGAGGGCAUGAAACGUCAUACGCAGUUCAAAAAGUUUAUCCGGAAGGAAUAUUGAGAUCAUUACGUAAUUUUCAUACAUUUCACCCAUUUAUAUAUGUGUAUUGACCCAUGACCAGAUGACGUUAUAUAUACGUAUAUAUAUAAAUAUAUGUAUAUGGGAUAUGUGAAAAGGUUAUAGUGUUACAUUAUAUACGCACCACCACAUGAUCAGCUGAUAUAUGUUGAUGAUGUUGCCCACAAUGGCCGAGACGAUAUGAUGGGAUGCCCUCACUGGCUUGAUGACAUUAUGUACACCCAUACCUAUGCAUGACACGACACUUAUACGCAUGUGCAUGACAUUAUAAAUAUUUCAGAAUUUACAAAGUUAUUCAGAUUUAUAGAUGGAUUUCUUUAUUCCAUGUUUCAUCUAUGUCAUUUACGUACUGAUUUUCAUGCCUUACAUACUCAGUACAUUUUUCGUACUGAUGCCCUAUUUCACGGGGCCUGCAUUUCAUGCCCGCAGGUGCAGGUAGGCAAGCUGAUGGUCCCUUUCUUAG